UCACUUCACAUUAAGCUGGCGAUCGCUAUAUGGGGUCUCGCCGGUUUCGGCCGGCUAUGACGAUAAACUGCUGCGUGCAAUAGACGCAACGGACCCGGGGGCAGUACCCGGCGGCUCCACCAGAAGGGGCGGUCAGCGAAGAUUGGCCGCAACUCCUGACGGGGCCGAACCAGGAUCGACGUGUGUUGAAAAGCGUAGUUUUCGUCCGGGCUGAGUAACCCGUUAAAGGCUCAAAACCCAUAAGUGCCAACGACAACGAAGCACUUGCUCUCGCUGCGUAAUGUGACGGCCUAGCGGCCUGAAUUUACAAAGCUACGAGCACGGUUCGGACCGAACCGGGUAACAGAAUCGGAAACC
rnacentral:tmRNA from 1 species